GACGAACGCUGGCGGCGUGCUUAACACAUGCAAGUCGAGCGAUGAAGCUUCCUUCGGGAAGUGGAUUAGCGGCGGACGGGUGAGUAACACGUGGGUAACCUGCCUCAAAGUGGGGAAUAGCCUUCCGAAAGGGAGAUUAAUACCGCAUAAUAUGAGAGAAUCGCAUGAUUUUCUUAUCAAAGAUUUAUUGCUUUGAGAUGGACCCGCGGCGCAUUAGCUAGUUGGUAAGGUAACGGCUUACCAAGGCAACGAUGCGUAGCCGACCUGAGAGGGUGAUCGGCCACAUUGGAACUGAGACACGGUCCAGACUCCUACGGGAGGCAGCAGUGGGGAAUAUUGCGCAAUGGGGUAAACCCUGACGCAGCAACGCCGCGUGGGUGAUGAAGGUCUUCGGAUUGUAAAGCCCUGUUUUCUGGGACGAUAAUGACGGUACCAGAGGAGGAAGCCACGGCUAACUACGUGCCAGCCGCCGCGGUAA
rnacentral:rRNA from 1 species